GCUCAGUUGGUAGAGUGGUAGAGUGCUCCGCUCGAAAUGGAGAAGUCCCUGGUUCGAUACCAGGGCCAGGCG
rnacentral:tRNA from 1 species